AUGAACGCUGGCGGCGUGCCUAAUACCUGCCAGUCGAGCGAACGGACGAGAAGCUUGCUUUUCUGAUGUUAGCGGCGGACGGGUGAGUAACACGUGGAUAACCUACCUAUAAGACUGGGAUAACUUCGGGAAACCGGAGCUAAUACCGGAUAAUAUUUUGAACCGCAUGGUUCAAAAGUGAAAGACGGUCUUGCUGUCACUUAUAGAUGGAUCCGCGCUGCAUUAGCUAGUUGGUAAGGUAACGGCUUACCAAGGCAACGAUGCAUAGCCGACCUGAGAGGGUGAUCGGCCACACUGGAACUGAGACACGGUCCAGACUCCUACGGGAGGCAGCAGUAGGGAAUCUUCCGCAAAGGGCGAAAGCCUGACGGAGCAACGCCGCGUGAGUGAUGAAGGUCUUCGGAUCGUAAAACUCUGUUAUUAGGGAAGAACAUAUGUGUAAGUAACUGUGCACAUCUUGACGGUACCUAAUCAGAAAGCCACGGCUAACUACGUG
rnacentral:rRNA from 1 species